GCCCCUGUAGCUCAGCGGAUAGAGCAUCUGACUUCUAAUCAGCCGGUCGCAGGUUCGAGUCCUGCCUGGGGCGCCG
rnacentral:tRNA from 2 species